rnacentral:lncRNA from 1 species
GAAGAUAUAGGGCUGGGGAUGUGGCUCAAGCUGUAGCGCGCUCGCCUGGCAUGCGUGGGGCGCUGGGUUCGAUCCUCAGCACCACAUACAAACAAGAUGUUGUGUCCGCCGAAAACUAAAAAAUAAAUAUUAAAAAAUUCUCUCUCUCUCUCUCUCAAAAAAAAAAAAAAAAAGAUAGAAGGUAUACAUUGUUUUACAGCAAUUGAAUUAUUCUCAGACUUUUCUAAAAAUGCCUUUUAUUUCAUUUUGUACUUUAAAUAACAGAGGAUCUGAACCAUGAUUCAUUAACUGCCUUGCCCUUGCCUACACAGGGUUAUGAUGUCCAACGUAGGUAUUCAAAGUUAUCAUUAGCAGUCUGGAGGAAACAAGAAAAGAAUGUAAUAGUCUAUGUGGGUGAGUGGGGAAGUAGAAGCACAAAGAGAUAGGACCAAAGCUUUCAUGCUGACCUCGGUCAAGCCAGGGAUUUGGCAUCGUGAACAGUUAAUGGUCAGAGGACCACAGAAGGUAGCCUGAAAGAUGUACCUGUGAGAGAGUUCCCAAAUAAAGGGACUCCUGUGCAAAUAGAAACCUAACCCACAGAGAUGUUAGUCCAAGUAAUUUACCUGUUCACAACUGUAGCUACACCUAUCACUAUUUUAUUCUCAUAAUAGGAACAAUCUAGAUGUAUGCUCAUUUAUAUAUGUAUAUAAGUACAUGGCACACACUCAAAGAUCUUUCAAAGAAAGAUUUCUACUAAAUGCUUUCUAAAACUCAAAAUUGUCUUGCUGAACAUGGUGACACAUGCCUAUAAUCCCAGCUAUUUGGAAGGCUGAGGCACGAGGAUCACAAGUUCAAGGCCAGCCUGGGCAAUUUAGAGAGACCCUGUCUCAAAAUAAAAAGUAUUGGCAAUGUUGCUUCAUAGUAGAGUAUUUAUUUGCCUAGCAUGUGCUAGACCCUGGGUUUGAUUCCCCAAAUACUGCAAAAUAAAUAAUAAUAAUAGUCUUUAAUCCUUAUAGCUCUGACUUUUUAGCACUUCUUAUCUGAUGUGCUUUAUUUUUUGCCAAACAUUAUAUUACAGAUUCACCAGAGUAGGGCUGAAGUUGUGCCUUAGGGGUAGAGCACUCGCCUAGCAAGUGUGAGGCACAUGAAUUUGAUCCUUAGCACCACAUAAAUAAAUAAAGUGUCCAUCUACAACUAAAAAAAUAUUUUAAAAAAAUUCACCAGAGUGGCAGAGUUAAUGUAGAUAAGAUAGGAUUCCAUACAGGUACCUUAAGCACAGUCACUCUGCUAUGUGUGACAAAUAGUCAUGUUCCAGAUUUCUUAAUUAUAUAUAACUUUAAUGUUCAAAUUGAAAAUAUGCCUGAAAAUCUGUUAACCAGUGGAGUGUGUUUUCUUGUUUGUGUGUUUUGUUUUUGGCACUGGGUAUUGAACACAGGAGUGCUCAACCACUAAGCCACAAUAACCAGUUCUAUUUGUAUUUUAUUUAGAGACAGGUCUCACUGAGUUGCUCAGGGCCUCACUAAGUUGCUGAGGCUGAUUUAGAACUCGAGAUCCUCUUGCCUCAGCCUUCCGAGCCGCUGGGAUUACAGGCGUGAGUAACCAAUGGAUGUUGAUAGAAAUUGGUUUCACUACUGGUGAGACCUGUCAACAGAAGGUAGAGGAGAAUGGUCAAGGGAAGUGGUAUUUAGAAAUCAGAUACUAGCAAUUAUUUAUACAUAAAUAAUAAAAAUGAUACUCUGGAAAUUUGGAAGGUAUAGGAAAGUCUAAGAAGGACAAACAAAAACAACCAAAUCUUAUUGCUUGAGAUGAUACUGAAAAGAUGGAGAUGUGCUUUCUUACUUUUUUGUCCACUUACAUAUGUGUGCUUUGACAAAAAGUUUCAAUCAACCUGGAUACAGGUUUGUUGUUUUGUUUUUGGGAUAUUGGGAAUUGAACCCCGCCCGGGGCACUUAACAAUACCCCCAGCCUCUUUGAGGCAGACUAAGUUGCCCAGGCUAGACUCCAACUUGAGGUCUUCCUGCCUCAGCCUACUGAAUAGCCCAGUCACUAAAUAUUUUGCCAAGAACAAAAUUUGGUUUUGAUGGUGCUGGAGAUUGAAUCCGGGGCCUCACGCGUGCUGAGCAUGUGUUCUGCCCCAGCCCAACAUUUUUUGACAGCUGUAUUUCUCCUGUCACUGUAGUCAGCAUUCAUUCAGCAAAUGUAGAUACAGGCACUUGGAUACAGUGCUGAGUAAAACCAGGUGUGGGACUCUCUUAUCUCUUCAGAGAUAGGCGUGAAAGAAAUCGGGAAUGAAGAUAAGGUGCAGUUUUAAGAGUGUAUUACAAAAAAGCCUUCUGGA